AUCUCCAACUGGCAGCUCUGCAGCACAGAGCCAAAGACAUCAUCUUCAUCCCCAGCAUACAUGAAUUAUCGGAGUACAUCGCCACACCUCUGUUCAAAAAGCAGCCACCCCAGCAGUGGGUUACCAUGGUGACCCAGCACAUGCAGCAAGUGCAGACCUUGAACCCACAUCAAGCCAGAGCACAGUUUUUGGGGCUUGUCAGUGCAUUCCCCAUGUU